rnacentral:rRNA from 1 species
CCCUUAGAUGUCCGGGGCCGCACGCGCGCUACACUGAAGGAAUCAGCGUGGCUUUCUCCCUGACCCGAAAGGGUUGGGAAACCCGUUGAAUCUCCUUCGUGAUAGGGAUUGGGGCUUGAAAUUGUUCCCCAUGAACGAGGAAUUCCCAGUAAGCGCGAGUCAUAAGCUCGCGUUGAUUACGUCCCUGCCCUUUGUACACACCGCCCGUCGCACCAAUUGAUUGGAUGACUCGAUGAAAAAUCAGGACUGAGAUUUCUUUUGCUUCAUUGCAGAGGAAGUUUUGGGAAUCUUUUUAAAUCUCGUUAUCUAGAGAUUGGUGAAGUCGUAACA